rnacentral:rRNA from 1 species
GAUGAACGCUGGCGGCGUGCUUAACACAUGCAAGUCGAACGAAGUCUUCGGACUUAGUGGCGGACGGGUGAGUAACGCGUGAGGACCUACCCUAAGGACGGGGACAACAGUUGGAAACGACUGCUAAUACCCGAUGUGCCGAGAGGUGAAAGAUUUAUCGCCUAAGGAUGGACUCGCGUCAGAUUAGCUAGUUGGUGUGGUAACGGCAUACCAAGGCAACGAUCUGUAGCUGGUCUGAGAGGAUGAUCAGCCACACUGGGACUGAGACACGGCCCAGACUCCUACGGGAGGCAGCAGUGGGGAAUUUUCCGCAAUGGGCGAAAGCCUGACGGAGCAACGCCGCGUGUGGGAGGAAGGUUUUAGGACUGUAAACCACUUUUCUCAGGGAAGAAGAUCUGACGGUACCUGAGGAAUCAGCAUCGGCUAAUUCCGUGCCAGCAGCCGCGGUAAUACGGGAGAUGCAAGCGUUAUCCGGAAUUAUUGGGCGUAAAGCGUCCGCAG